rnacentral:rRNA from 1 species
UACGAAGGGGGCUAGCGUUGCUCGGAAUCACUGGGCGUAAAGGGUGCGUAGGCGGGUCUUUAAGUCAGGGGGGAAAUCCUGGAGCUCAACUCCAGAACUGCCUUUGAUACUGAAGAUCUUGAGUUCGGGAGAGGUGAGUGGAACUGCGAGUGUAGAGGUGAAAUUCGUAGAUAUUGGGAAGAACACCGGUGGCGAAGGCGGCUCACUGGCUCGUAACUGACGCUCAUGCACGACAGCGUGGGGAGCAAACAGG